GCGGCCGACGAGGCGCCAGAGAUCCUGUUCCCCUGCAGAGCUACGGGGACCGGAAGGCGUUGAAACAGAGCUGUCGACGCGGGAGCACAGGCUGCCCACCAGUGAAGCGCAGAUGUGAGACACGAAACUUCAGAAACUAUUUCAAACAACAAAAAACUACUACAUAUUUUAAUACAAUGACAAGACUGCAACAUAUUUUGGUGCAUUUGCUGGGAAAGAAAGGGAUUCAUCUAAAGGAUCUCCUGCCAGGACUUCUUAAAGGUGGAACACAGGAAGUCAGGCUAUAAGAAAGAUCAUUAAUGAUGUCAGUUUCCCGGGGCACAAAGCAUGAGGAAAAAUAUGGAGAAGGAUGAAGAACAAAAGUGGAAGAGCAAUAGAGGAAUAGAAGAAAAAUCCCUGGAGCUGAUUGGUGUUGUAGUGCAUCCUUCCAACUUGGAAGAGAAAUGGUAAUAACGCAGCUUACUGCUGCCAUCUGCCGUCAAGCAUGGUUCAGACAAUAACUGGUGGCCCCAGAAGUUAGUUGCCAGGUUUAACAAACUUAAAUAAUUUAGGAAUUGGGUAGGCAGUAGGAGUGAGUAAAAGGUGCUGGUUAGGAACUAUGUUGAAUUGGCUAGCACCAGCCCAAAUAAAGUAAGCAAUAGUGCUUUACCUUUAAAGAAUUAUCACAGCAAAGGAACACUGGUCCAGUAAGGACAGAUCUUGAGGUUUUUGGUGUUUUUUUUUUUUUUUUUUUUUUAAGAUAAUCCAGAAAUCUAGAUUUUUAAAAAGUCAGCUUUCCUAAUUUUUAACAGACAAUUUAAAAAUAUGUAAGGAUAAUCAGACCAAGCAAAGCAAGUCUCUAGGAUAACAGUUUGCAAUGUCUCUUUCUCCUGCAACAGUCCCAAGGACUGUUUUAAUAAAUAUGGGAUUCAAAAUUAAAAGCUACUUGCUCUGAUGAAGUUCAAGUGACAUUAGUGAUGGCCCAGCAUCUUCAGGCUGUCUGACUCAGCAAUCUGAAGACCCAGGCUUCCUUUGGGGCAGGGACCAAGUCUUCUGCACCUUUGUAUUCCCAUCAGUGAGUGUAUUUCCCAGGAGAAGCUGGUGCUCAAUCAACACAAGAUAAAUGAACAGGUUUGUUCUUUGGCCCUGCCACAAUACAGCUAUAUGAACUUGGGUAAAUCAGUUAGCUUCUUUGGGUGUCCAUUUUGUCAUCUAUAAAAUGAGAAUUAUGAGUCUCUACUUUGGUGAAAGUGGUCUUUUUUCAAAGGUGACUGAAUAAUGGAAUGUUUACAUUCUCCAAGAAGAGGUUCUUGAGCAUACACUGGGUUAACUGCAGCCCAGAGAUCCUCAGAUUUCAAGAAACCCAAUGCCAUGCUAAAAAGAACUCUUAUGAAAAUCAGCCUCAGAAUAAUUUGACACAGACUGAAAGUUGAAGUGUUUCAAAUUGGACAUAAAUUAGGGUAAAUUGGAUGAUUAAGGCUAAGUCCACAACGUUGCCUUCAUUCACUAUUCAAAACCCUCUGCCUAAUUAAUUUUAUAAAAUGUGAACAUUUUUGAUCUUUAAAAUGCCAUAAAUUGUGGCAAUUGUGAGGGGCAAGUGUCAAGAUGGAAAGAUGAGUGAGUUGUAAACCGGAUACAAUGUCCCUCAAAAUUACCACACUCAUGUUGCUGUGGAGCCUUGUGAAAAUACGAAUUCCCAGGCACCAAGCCUCAAAAUUAUGAUUUAGCACGUCAGGAUGGAUAGAAUUUGUUUUAUCCAUAUUUCACAAGGCUCCCAAGUGAUUCAUAUGAUCAGGCAAGUUUGGAAAACUCUGAAGAGGACUUGAUUUCUCAUCUUGAGUCUAGGCUAGUAACAUAAAUUUAUAGAAGUUCUCUGAGUUUCCUUGUCUGUAAUAAAAUGAGAAUCUGAAUUAUCAGAUUUAGCUUUGAUUACCAUGUUUUAAGCUUCCUCUAAGAUCUAAAAAAUCUAUAUACUGUGUUCAUAAAUCAUAUAUCUGAAAAAAAAGACUAGCAUACUCAUUCGCUCAUCCCUUUUAUUCCUACUAUUUCAGAAGCCUCACAUCUCUAAAACAGGAAAACCCAUUUUGAUCAGUGUCAUGUUCUUGAAGACCUCUGUUUAGACUUUUAAUAUUUUUUUCAGAAAGACUGUACAUUCAGAAAGUAUAGUCCUAACUCCAGACAUAAACUGGCAAGAUUAAAGAAAAUGACAUUAGACAACUUUAAACUUGUGUCUUAUUACUAAACCAUAGACAAUAAAGAAUAUUACUGGUUACAUUAAAAUAUUUUAUUUUGUAAAUAUAUUACAUAAUGUGGAACUUUUGAUGGUGAUAGAAGUGUUGGUAUGUUAAAUAUAAACAUUUUAAACAUCUUACAAUGUUAAGACCAUGUUUUGACAUGUUUUUAUUAUUUUCUUUUAAUAUACCAUGAGAUUGUCAAAUAACAGUGAUGAGCUAGGCAUCUUUGGAACUCCAAGUCUCUGUAUCUAAUUAGAUAAUUGUUUCACUCAUGCUCUUAUCCCAUUACUUCUAGGACUCUUAUCCAAGAUUUAUUGCAGUGUCUCCUUUUUUAGGAUCUCACCUGUAUAACUUUUUCUUCUUGAUCUUCUUCAAGCAAUCCUUUCUCCUCCAGCCCCCUAACUGGGGUUUUCCCAAGGAUUCAGUUAUAGCCAGUGCUCACAAACUCAGGCUUUCACAGGGCCAGGCAGUAGACAUAAAUGACUCAGCAUCUGCUGGUGGUUUCUACUCAUAUGUCUCACCUUCAUUUAAUACAUCUACAAAGAAACUC